GUGUCAGCAGCCGCGGUAAUACGUAGGGGCCAAGCGUUGUCCGGAUUUAUUGGGCGUAAAGAGCUCGUAGGCGGUUCGGUAAGUCAGGUGUGAAAUCUCCGCGCUCAACGCGGAGCGGUCAUCUGAAACUGCCGUGACUCGAGUCCGGUAGGGGAGUGUGGAAUUCCCGGUGUAGCGGUGAAAUGCGCAGAUAUCGGGAGGAACACCAGUGGCGAAGGCGGCACUCUGGGCCGGAACUGACGCUGAGGAGCGAAAGCGUGGGGAGCGAACAGGAUUAGAUACCCGCGUAGUCC
rnacentral:rRNA from 1 species